UACGUAGGUGGCGAGCGUUGUCCGGAUUUAUUGGGCGUAAAGCGCCCGCAGGCGGCUUGAUAAGUUUCAGGUGAAAUCUCCCGGCUUAACUGGGAGGGGUCCUGGAAAACUGUCAGGCUUGAGGCAGAGAGAGGGAUGUGGAAUUCCCGGUGUAGUAGUGAAAUGCGUAGAUAUCGGGAGGAACACCAGUGGCGAAGGCGGCAUCCUGG
rnacentral:rRNA from 1 species